rnacentral:rRNA from 1 species
CAUGUAGGUGGGGUGUCAGGCGUCGGGUGAAAUCCCUCGGCUCAACCGAGGAACUGCCUGGCGAACCGGCAUUCUUGAGGCAGGUAGAGGUGGCUGGAACGACGGGUGGAGCGGUGAAAUGCGUAGAUAUCCGUUGGAACGCCGGCGGCGAAAGCGAGCCACUGGGCCUGUCCUGACACUGAGAUGCGAAAGCGUGGGAGCAAACA